rnacentral:lncRNA from 1 species
GCUGCCUGUGGUGUCUGGAAGCAGCAGGUUACAAUAGCGCUCAAGGGGGAGAGGCAGGCUGUCAGAACCACAUUUCGGCAGCAGAGCUUAGAGAUGUGCAUCACAUCCUUCUAUAGCUUUCUGAACACAACUCGAGCUGAUCAUUAGUGAUGGAUGAAUUUGUACUGGCUCAGUUUUGAAUGGUUCACUAUUUACAAACAUUGUUGCAGCCCUCCCAUUCGCCGAAUCUUCAGACUUAGUAGAUCAGCUCCAACCUCUUCCUGUUCUGAGAGGCUGAGUCUAUUCGUGCCUAUUUGUGCUUCCUGUGAGCUUUGACUGUGUUCUAGCCUGCUCUCAAGCUACUGCCUUAUCAGCUUGCCCAUCAACCUCAGGAAGAGUUGAAAUCUGCAGCUGCCAGCUCUCCCCUGCCUGACUAACAUCUAAGCCUCUCUGUUCCUGGCUGCUUUCUGCAGUUGGCUGCAAAUCUUUGCUUGGAGCUGGCUCAUUCCUGACACUUACCUGGG